rnacentral:misc_RNA from 1 species
GAUGAAGAACGUAGUGAAAUGCGAUAAGUAAUGUGAAUUGCAGAAUUCAGUGAAUCAUCGAAUCUUUGAACGCACCUUGCGCCCUUUGGCUAUUCCGAAGGGCAUGCCUGUUUGAGUAUCAUGAACACCUCAACUCUCAUGGCUCGCCAUGAUGAGCUUGGACUUUGGGGGUCUUGCUGGCCUGUGGUCGGCUCCUCUCAAAUGGAUCAGCUUGCCAGUGUUUGGUGGCAUCACAGGUGUGAUAACUAUCUGCGCUUGUGGUUUUCCAUCAGAUAACCUUCAGUGAUGGAGGUUCGCUGGAGCUCAUAAACGUCUCCCCUAAGCGGGGACAGCCCUUUGAAUGUUUGAUCUCAAAUCAGGUAGGACUACCCGCUGAACUUAAGCAUAUCAAUAAGCGGAGGA